AUGGCAUCGUCCCCUGGUGGCU
rnacentral:miRNA from 1 species